GUUUUCCCGGGAAGGAGCCCGGCUCAGCUGUGUCGACCCUGGGACGUCUCCUUUCCCUUUCCUUCUAGAAGAAACAGCGUGUCCUAGCCCUCCGUAGGGAAAGGCGCUCGUCACCGUUGGUUCGUGGUGACUUUAAAAUGUGAAGUACGAGGACUGGACAGGCCGAUGCUGACCCGGGCGGACCUGCGCUCGCCCACAGCCUGCGAGGAGACUCAGCCCCAAGCCCACAGCACGGAGCCCGGCCCUUCUACCCCUUCCUGCGAGCCUGAUGAGCCUCCCGUCUGGCUCGGGAUAAGCAUCUACACAGAGCCGGCACACGGCACAGCCACUGUUAUACGCUAUUAGGACACAGCCUAUUUUCAGUCGAGUUGGUCCAGCUGGCCAGAAGCUGAAUGAGAACUUUUCAAUCCAUUUCCCCCCUGAGUCGGGAGGUACACAAGCAGGGCUGGAGAGAGGACGGGAAGAGGACACCUUCCUUCCAUUUUCUGUGAUAAUGUGGAUAAAACACUUUCUGUGCGAAACCGUAGGAUAUUUCAAAUAGUACUGAAGUAAGAGCUCCAAACACACCGUUGAUCGAAGGAAAUUUUGUGUUGAUGUGUUCAAAGGAAGCAUCUUUCUGCUGGCUGAGUCCCUUCGUCGCCCCAGCACAGUUUCCAGAACUCAGGGGGCUUCUGGAGCAGAAUUCUGGAACCCCGGGCUCGGUAGGAUGGUUAUGGGCGCAACGUUGUUGAAGCCACGCCAUCGGGAGUCUAUAGCCAAGCAUAUCUGGUGGCGUGGUCUUCUCCUGUGAGGCUUUGAAGACUUGUGCUUUGUUGAAGAUAAAGCUGGCCUGUGGCUGAUUGCAGAUGCUUUCAGGGAAGUGAAGUAAGUCAGAAUGACUAUGUAUAGGCGUCAGAAGAUUUCAAGGGGCCGCAAUUAGUUUAUUACUUAACGAUUUUCAAAAGCAAAGGAUCUGGUGAGAAUUCAUAACGAGGAGACUGCCACUAAGGAGUUUCGGUUGUUUCUGUGAUACAAAAACGAGAUGAGAAAGCCAAUCCAAAAUAAGUUUUAGACAGGGGCGCCUGGGUGGCUCUGUCGGUUGAGCGUCCUACUUCGGCUCAGGUCAUGAUCUCACGGUCCGUGAGUUCGAGCCCCGCGUCGGGCUCUGUGCUGACCGCUCAGAGCCUGGAGCCUGUUUCAGAUUCUGUGUCUCCCUCUCUCUCUGCUCCUCCCCCGUUCAUGCUCUGUCUCUCUCUGUCUCAAAAAUAAAUAAACAUUAAAAAAAUUAAAAAAAAAAAGCAAAAUAAGUUUUGGACAAAAUAGCUACAGACAUAGUGACCUACCAUAUGUUCAAAGGAGAUAGAAAACACUGCAUGGGAUUUAUAGCAGUGGAUGAACACAAUUUCCGCAGAGAAAAAGUCUCAAAACAGACAUAUAAUAAUCCUGAGAUCUAAUAUGCUGCAAAUAUACAAAUCACAUAGUAAGAAUAAUAUAGCACCAAUAUGAGACAGUUGUGGUAAGUCUGGAGUAAGUUCUACAUACUUAUACAUUAAUUAGACUCCACAGGCAAGUGAUGUAAAUCCCAUUUGAAAUUCAGAAGCCCAGAAGAUGCCAGAUUCAAGUUAAAGAAGUAAAGUUGCGACCAAGUAAACGUUUAAAAAAACAGCUAAAAUUAUGACUGAUUACACUUCACUACUGUCGUCUAAUAUCAGAGAAAACAGCACCAGGACUUUCUAUGUUGAUAGAAACAUGUCAUGGGCAGUAAGAGCACUGAUAAGUCUCCAGGAAUUUCCCAUUCGGUGUACAAUUUCUGAAAUGUUUAUAUUAACACUUUAGCCAUGCAAAUCUGACUUAGGGAAGCCUAGGCCUUUCUCCUCCUCCUCCUCCUCCUCCUCCUCCUCCUCCUCCUCCUUCUCCUCCUUCUUUUCCUCCUCCCCCUCCCCCUCCUUCUGGCAUCCCUUCUGAUUUUCACCCCUUCCUGUGCAACUCAUCAAUAAUAGCAUAUCAAAUAGCCCUGGUUCUCUUCACUAUCUGUCUUUUUGCAAGGGGACAGAACGCAUCGUUAGGAUUUUCCAGGCACCUUCGGGGAAGUCUCAACCACAGGUGUAGGUGGAAACAGUACCUUGAAAGUUUUAUUUGACAUUUAGGAUUCGAUUUGGGGAAGGCAAAGGUUAAAAACGAUCAGAACAUUUGAACACUUAGGAGAGGAAACAAACCAUGAUUGCUGGAGAAAUUACGUGGUUAUUGGUUUCAAAGUUACAAUAAAACAGUUAAAACUAAGCACAGAAGGUAACAUGACUGUAAACGACGUUAUUCCUAUGUAAAAAACCUUUGUUUUCUUCAGGAAGGACGACACAAUCAGUGUAAACUAUAAAGGUUAUUCUGCUAAAAAACAGAAUAUUUACUCUCGGAGAAGGUUACACAGGGGAAACAGAAAGAACCGGUCAUAUUAUGGGUGAGGGCACCGAGCAGUUAACCAAAGGAACAAACACAUCAAAGUGAAGCAAACCUUCCCAGACUUUGGUAUAUUCCGUGGCUCUUCAAACUCAGCUUUCCAGCGUAAAGGGCCCGUGAAAUCCCAGGCUUCUGACCUCCCUCCCAGGGGAACCGACUGGAACGCUGAAGAACGAAACAAGAAACAGGAGGCUCUCGUGAUGUAAUUGAUCCUCAGAGUGAGAAGUGUUCUGCCCGUUCCAGAAUGUACAUGUUAGGUAAACGAACAAACAGAUCCUUAAAAGCCAUAGUUCAGGAUUUGAUUCACAAAUCUGUUUAAAAACCAAGGCCGCUGCUGGUAAACGGUCAGAUAUUCUUAUUUCCAAAUAUUUUUCCUUUCGUUUGAGGCCUUUUUGUUUGUUUAUUUUGAUCUGUCUGUCUUGCUUUCUCGGAUCCGUUCUAAUUGUUAUCUAAGAUUUCCUGUCCUCUAUAAAAAAAAAAAAAUCUUCACUGAAUCUGUUAUCUUGUAAACCUUGAAACGUUGGCAUCCUGUGUUCUGUGUCGUCUUCUGUCAUUCCUCCUGACUUCCUGCCUCCUCCUGUCCUAAAUGUGGCAAGAGAGAGAGGAGAGACGAUUCCAUUUCCUUACCCAUCAACCAGGCCGCGAGUGGGGUCUGCGGAUGAGCUAAUACUGGAGGAGGCCUCCCUGUAAUUGUCGUGACUUUGGAGCAUCGGACAGUGUUACGUGGGCAGACUUUGGCCCUCGGUUUGUGAGUUUGACUUCCUACUUCAGACACGGAGUGUUCGGGGUCACUUCCUGACAUACCUGUGGCAUAUGUGUCCCUCCCCGCCCAAGUUUCUGGUAGGGAAUGCGCAGGAGUGACACUAAUAUGUGAUGUCUGGGUUCCCAAGGUGUUUUCAGCCUCCACUGGAUCGGGUUCACAAGCAGCAAUCCUGCAGAAUUAGAGGUACUCGAGGCUUGUGACUGAGGUGAGAAAGAUAGUGCCCCGCUGCCUCUCUGAGGUCUUCGCUGAGACCCCGGUAACGAGUGAGUAAGAAGGAAAAACCGACCGAAGUUUGUUAACCCGUUUGCCCCGGGUACAGGUGGGGACACCCGGGGAGAACAAGUAACUGUCGCCGUGGCUUAGAAGUCCAGCUUACGCGGCAUCUUCAACAAAGAACAGUGGAUUUGUGGUGAAGUCAUGGAACAAAGGAACGCGUGUCAGGCCAAGGGCGGAGAGACAGGCCAGUCAGUAAAGUUUGUUAUUUGAUUUCCAGGCUGUUGGGGUCUAAGGUUGUCUGGGGGUGAACCUCCGUCUUUCCCCGCAGAGAGGGCACAAGGGCCUCUUGGCAAACUUCUGUCCUAAUUCCUCCCUCUCGCUUUCAGCUCACAAUAAUCCUUGUGCCCAAGUGGCAUAUCUGGGGGUGGCCUAGUCCGCCACCUUCGCUGUCUUGUUUGUUCACAUUCCUUUGGAAGUUGGGAGGGGGGACCUGCUACGAAUAAACGAUGAACUCAGGGUUGCUGCGGUGUGAACGGGACGCUGGGCGCCGGGCUGGGCCGCUUGCGCUAGGUGAAGAGACAGUGACUCUCAGGGGACCCCAGUCAGAACCUUCGAGAUCUCUACAUAAAACGGAAAAGCCCAGUGCGCAGGCCAGGGCUCCGUAGAUUCAGGAAGGCGCCAGUCUGUUUGUGGUUUAUUUCCUCCCCGAGCUCCAGUCUCUCCCCUUGCCCAGAAUGUGCGUCUGAUCCACAAAGGCGGCGGUUCCCGGGCCCGCACAAAACCAAAGUGGCGAGGGUCCAGGUCUGGCCGCUGUUCUCUUACUUGAUCUCAAAAAAUAAAAUCGGAGUCUGACUCAAGCCAGACACCCUGGCUUAUUCCCUGCCUGACACGGACAACCACACUCCCUCAGCUGAAGAUGUCCCAGGUUCAGAGAUCUGGGACCGAACCUCCAAGCCACAGUGUGGCGCAUUGCUUUCUAUCUCUACUGCAAGGCACCUGUCACUCAGUUCUUAACCCAGUCUUACCUGCCAUCUGCAAACCCGUCACCUUCUAUCAACUACAGAAACCUUCCUCAUUUUCCCUUCACCCCAGGCCCUCAUAAUGGGAUGGGAGUGACCUGGCAAGAGACUCUCCUCGCCUGGAAUAACAAUUCAGCACAGGCUUACCCGCCACACAGAUUCUUUAAUGCCUCUCCGACAUAUUUAGUGGCACCUUCCACUAUGGAAAAACAGAAAACUAAACAAAGAAGGCCCCGCUGGGAUUCGAACCCAGGAUCUCCUGUUUACUAGACAGGCGCUUUGACCAGCUAAGCCACAGAGCCCCUUUUUGAGUUUACGUUCAGUUAUAUCAUAUUUAUACCGUUUUCUGUGAGUUGUAGCAACUUGUCAGAAACUCACUUAAUUUUGUGACCAAGAGAUGAUAUCUGUGUUUCCGAGCUUGUGCUUAAACGGAAACCUCCAACAUUUAAAGAAGAUGCAUUCUUCAAUGCAAGAAAGGUUUAAGAUUGUUCAAAUUAAAAAUGGGUUAAAUUCCUAUUUCAUGGCGACUCUCGCCAUCUAGA